rnacentral:rRNA from 1 species
UGUAGUUAACACCUGCAUUAUUUGACGUUACCUACAGAAGAAAGCAACCGGCUAACUCCGUGCCAGCAGCCGCGGUAAUACGGAGGGGUGCGAGCGUUAAUCGGAAUUACUGGGCGUAAAGCGCAUGCAGGCGGCCUGUUAAGUCAGAUGUGAAAGCCCGGGGCUUAACCUCGGAAUUGCAUUUGUAAACUGGCAGGCUAGAGUCUUGUAGAGGGGGGUAGGGAAUUUCAGGUGUAGCGGUGAAAUAGCGUAGAGAUCUGAAGGAAUACCAGUGGCGAAGGCGGCCCCCUCGGACAAAGACUGACGCUCAGAUGCGAAAGCGUGGGGAGCAAACAGGAUUAGAUACCCUGGUAG